UACGAAGGGGGCUAGCGUUGCUCGGAAUGACUGGGCGUAAAGGGCGCGUAGGCGGUUUGUACAGUCAGGUGUGAAAUUCCCGGGCUCAACCUGGGGGCGGCACUUGAGACGUAGGAACUGGAGUGAGGAAGAGGGUCGUGGAAUUCCCAGUGUAGAGGUGAAAUGCGUAGAUAUCUGGAGGAACACCGGUGGCGAAGGCGGCAUCCUGGACCAAUACUGACGCUGAGUGAGCGAAAGCCAGGGGAGCAAACGGG
rnacentral:rRNA from 1 species